rnacentral:misc_RNA from 1 species
GAUGAAGAACGCAGUGAAAUGCGAAAAGUAGUGUGAAUUGCAGAAUUCAGUGAAUCAUCGAAUCUUUGAACGCACAUUGCGCCCGCCAGUAUUCUGGCGGGCAUGCCUGUUCGAGCGUCAUUUCAACCCUCAAGCCCCCGGGCUUGGUGUUGGGGAUCGGCGUGCCCUCGCGGCGCGCCGUCCCCUAAAUCUAGUGGCGGUCUCGCUGUAGCUUCCUCUGCGUAGUAGCAACACUCGCACUGGAUCGCAGCGCGGCCACGCCGUUAAACCCCCCACUUCUGAAAGUUUGACCUCGGAUCAGGUAGGAAUACCCGCUGAACUUAAGCAUAUCAAUAAGCGGAGGA